AUUGAACGCUGGCGGCAUGCCUUACACAUGCAAGUCGAACGGUAACAGGGAGCUUGCUCCGCUGACGAGUGGCGAACGGGUGAGUAAUGUAUCGGAACGUACCUUUUAGUGGGGGAUAACGUAGCGAAAGUUACGCUAAUACCGCAUAUUCUCUGAGGAGGAAAGCAGGGGACCGUCGGGCCUUGCGCUAAUAGCGCGGCUGAUAUCAGAUUAGCUAGUUGGGGAGGUAAAGGCUCACCAAGGCGGCGAUAUGUAGCGGGUCUUAGAGGGUGAUCCGCCACACUGGAACUGAGACACUGUCCAGACUCCUACGGGAGGCAGCAGUGGGGAAUUUUGGACAAUGGGGGCAACCCUGAUCCAGCCAUGCCGAGUGAGUGAAGAAGGCCUUCGGGUUGUAAAGCUCUUUCGGCCGGGAAAAAAUCGCAUGGGUUAAUACCCUGUGUGGAUGAUGGUACCGGAAUAAGAAGCACCGGCUAACUACGUGCCAGCAGCCGCCGUAACAC
rnacentral:rRNA from 1 species